rnacentral:rRNA from 1 species
GUUGUAUAGUUAAGUGAGAAAGCGUACAGGGCGGAUGCCUUGGCAAUCAGAGGCGAAGAAGGACGUGCUAAUCUGCGAAAAGCGUGGGUGAGUUGAUAAGAAGCGUUUAACCCACGAUGUCCGAAUGGGGAAACCCGAUAGGCGAAGAGCCUAUCAUUGCGAGGUGAAUAAAAUAGCCUCGUAAGGCGAACCGGGAGAACUGAAACAUCUAAGUACCCCGAGGAAAAGAAAUCAACCGAGAUUCUGUGAGUAGCGGCGAGCGAAAGCGGAGGAGCCAGUAAGUAAUAGCAGCAGAGAUAGAGGAAUUGUCUGGGAAGGCAAGCGACACAGGGUGAUAGCCCCGUACUUAAAAUCCAGGCUGUGGUACUAAGCUUACGAGAAGUAGGGCGGGACACGAGGAAUCCUGUCUGAAGAUGGGGGGACCAUCCUCCAAGGCUAAAUACUCCUGAUUGACCGAUAGUGAACCAGUACUGUGAAGGAAAGGCGAAAAGAACCCCGGUGAGGGGAGUGAAAUAGAACCUGAAACCCUGUACGUACAAGCAGUGGGAGCCCCAUCACUCAAACACAUUGAGUGUUGGAAGAGGCAAAAAGCACCAAAAAUAACACCGCACUUUAAAGUGUAGGGUACGACGAGCGAAGCGAGUCAAACCCAAAAAUAGCAGUGUGAUUGAGUGAUGGGGUGACUGCGUACCUUUUGUAUAAUGGGUCAGCGACUUAUAUUUUGUAGCGAGGUUAACUGAAUAAGGGAGCCGAAGGGAAACCGAGUCUUAACUGGGCGGUGAGUUGCAAGGUAUAGACCCGAAACCCGGUGAUCUAGCCAUGGGCAGGUUGAAGGUUGGGUAACACUAACUGGAGGACCGAACCGACUAAUGUUGAAAAAUUAGCGGAUGACCUGUGGCUGGGGGUGAAAGGCCAAUCAAACCGGGAGAUAGCUGGUUCUCCCCGAAAUCUAUUUAGGUAGAGCCUUGUGUGAAUACCUUUGGGGGUAGAGCACUGUUUCGGCUAGGGGCCCAUCCCGGGUUACCAAACCGAUGCAAACUCCGAAUACCAAAGAGUAAUGCACAGGAGACACACGGCGGGUGCUAACGUCCGUCGUGGAGAGGGAAACAACCCAGACCGCCAGCUAAGGUCCCAAAAUCUAUAUUAAGUGGGAAACGAAGUGGGAAGGCUUAGACAGCUAGGAUGUUGGCUUAGAAGCAGCCACCAUUUAAAGAAAGCGUAAUAGCUCACUAGUCGAGUCGGCCUGCGCGGAAGAUGUAACGGGGCUAAAAUAUAGUACCGAAGCUGCGGCAUCAAUCGAAGGAUUGUUGGGUAGGGGAGCGUUGUGUAAGCGGAAGAAGGUGGUUCGAGAGGAUUGCUGGACGUAUCACAAGUGCGAAUGCUGACAUAAGUAACGAUAAAACGGGUGAAAAACCCGUUCGCCGGAAGACCAAGGGUUCCUGUCCAACGUUAAUCGGGGCAGGGUGAGUCGGCCCCUAAGGCGAGGCUGAAAAGCGUAGUCGAUGGGAAACGGGUUAAUAUUCCCGUACUUGGUAAAGCUGCGAUGUGGGGACGGAGAAGGUUAGGUUAUCGACCUGUUGGAGAUGGUCGUUUAAGUUGGUAGGUGGGUGAGUUAGGCAAAUCCGGCUCACCGUUAACACUGAGAGAUGAUGACGAGGCACUAAGGUGCUGAAGUAACUGAUACCACACUUCCAGGAAAAGCCACUAAGCUUCAGGCUUUACUAAACCGUACUGAAAACCGACACAGGUGGUCAGGUAGAGAAUACUCAGGCGCUUGAGAGAACUCGGGUGAAGGAACUAGGCAAAAUAGCACCGUAACUUCGGGAGAAGGUGUGCCGGCGUAGAUUGUAGUGACUUGCUCACGAAGGUUGAACCGGUCGAAGAUACCAGCUGGCUGCAACUGUUUAUUAAAAACACAGCACUCUGCAAACACGAAAGUGGACGUAUAGGGUGUGAUGCCUGCCCGGUGCUGGAAGGUUAAUUGAUGGUGUAAUCGAAAGAGAAGCUCCUGAUCGAAGCCCCAGUAAACGGCGGCCGUAACUAUAACGGUCCUAAGGUAGCGAAAUUCCUUGUCGGGUAAGUUCCGACCUGCACGAAUGGCAUAAUGAUGGCCAGGCUGUCUCCACCCGAGACUCAGUGAAAUUGAAAUCGCCGUGAAGAUGCGGUGUACCCGCGGCUAGACGGAAAGACCCCGUGAACCUUUACUAUAGCUUGACACUGAACCUUGAAUUUUGAUGUGUAGGAUAGGUGGGAGACUAUGAAGCGGUAACGCCAGUUAUCGUGGAGUCGUUGUUGAAAUACCACCCUUUAACGUUUGAUGUUCUAACGAAGUGCCUGAAACGGGUACUCGGACAGUGUCUGGUGGGUAGUUUGACUGGGGCGGUCUCCUCCCAAAGUGUAACGGAGGAGCACGAAGGUUUGCUAAUGACGGUCGGACAUCGUCAGGUUAGUGCAAUGGUAUAAGCAAGCUUAACUGCGAGACAGACAAGUCGAGCAGGUGCGAAAGCAGGUCAUAGUGAUCCGGUGGUUCUGAAUGGAAGGGCCAUCGCUCAACGGAUAAAAGGUACUCCGGGGAUAACAGGCUGAUACCGCCCAAGAGUUCAUAUCGACGGCGGUGUUUGGCACCUCGAUGUCGGCUCAUCACAUCCUGGGGCUGAAGUAGGUCCCAAGGGUAUGGCUGUUCGCCAUUUAAAGUGGUACGCGAGCUGGGUUUAGAACGUCGUGAGACAGUUCGGUCCCUAUCUGCCGUGGGCGUUGGAGAAUUGAGAGGGGCUGCUCCUAGUACGAGAGGACCGGAGUGGACGCAUCACUGGUGUACCAGUUGUCUCGCCAGAGGCAUUGCUGGGUAGCUAAAUGCGGAAGAGAUAAGUGCUGAAAGCAUCUAAGCACGAAACUUGCCUUGAGAUGAGUUCUCCCAGUCUAUAAGACUGUAAGGGUUGUUGGAGACUACGACGUAGAUAGGCUGGGUGUGUAAGCGGUGUGAGCCGUUGAGCUAACCAGUACUAAUUGCCCGAGAGGCUUAACUAUACAACGCUCAAGGGUUUUG